AUGGGGUGUGGUUUGUGCGACGGACCCAUAGGCGGAGAAUAUUUUAAGGGGUUAGAAGAGGGGAAAGAGUAGAAGCUUUUUCUCCAUCUUCUUCAGAGAUAAAAGCGGGGCACGAUGGAAGAGAAAGGAGAAGAAGACCAAUUGUAAAAAGACUGGGAAAACGAGGAAAGGAGGGAGGUCUCUUCCAAGCGAGCGGUUAAUGUUCAGAGAUCAAUAGAACACAAAGUGGGCGGGGGCAACACACACACACAUACACAGUCAGUUGUCUAUGUAGCUAGUAUAUUGCGCAGAUUUCGCAAUGGUCGGUUAGGGGAGCGAGAGGACUGAUCGUUGAAGUGAG
ensembl:ncRNA H01A20.2 ncRNA